GAUGAACGCUGGCGGCGUGCCUAAUACAUGCAAGUCGAACGAAACUUCUUUAUCACCGAGUGCUUGCACUCACCGAUAAAGAGUUGAGUGGCGAACGGGUGAGUAACAUGUGGGCAACCUGCCCAAAAGAGGGGGAGAACCCUUGGAAACAGGUGCUAAUACCGCAUAACCAUAGUUACCGCAUGGCAACUAUGGAAAAGGUGGCUAUACUACCGCCUUUGGAUGGGCCCGUGGGGCAUUAACUAGUUGGUGGGGUAAAGGCUUACUAAGGGAAUGAUGCGUAGCCGAGUUGAGGGGUGGGUCGGCCACAUUGGGAGUGAGACACGGCCCAAACUCCGACGGGAGGCAGCAGUAGGGAAUGUGCCCAACUGGGCGAAAGCCUGAUGAAGCAACGCCGGGUGGGUGAAGAAGGUCUUCGGAUCGUAAAACCCUGUUGUUGGGGAAAAAAGUGCGUGAGAGUAACGGUGCACGUUUGAAGGGAAUCUAACAGGAAGGCCCGGGCAAACUAGGU
rnacentral:rRNA from 1 species